rnacentral:rRNA from 1 species
UGCAGUCGAACGGUGAUGGCCAGCUUGCUGGUCUGAUCAGUGGCGAACGGGUGAGUAACACGUGAGCAACCUGCCCUUGACUCUGGGAUAACCACGGGAAACGGUGGCUAAUACCGGAUAUGAGACGUACACGCAUGUGUGGCGUCUGGAAAGAUUUAUCGGUCAAGGAUGGGCUCGCGGCCUAUCAGCUUGUUGGUGGGGUAAUGGCCUACCAAGGCGACGACGGGUAGCCGGCCUGAGAGGGCGACCGGCCACACUGGGACUGAGACACGGCCCAGACUCCUACGGGAGGCAGCAGUGGGGAAUAUUGCACAAUGGGCGCAAGCCUGAUGCAGCGACGCCGCGUGAGGGAUGACGGCCUUCGGGUUGUAAACCUCUUUCAGCAGGGAAGAAGCGCAAGUGACGGUACCUGCAGAAGAAGCGCCGGCUAACUACGUGCCAGCAGCCGCGGUAAUACGUAGGGCGCAAGCGUUGUCCGGAAUUAUUGGGCGUAAAGAGCUCGUAGGCGGUUUGUCGCGUCUGCUGUGAAAACCUGAGGCUCAACCUCGGGCUUGCAGUGGGUACGGGCAGACUAGAGUGCGGUAGGGGUGACUGGAAUUCCUGGUGUAGCGGUGGAAUGCGCAGAUAUCAGGAGGAACACCGAUGGCGAAGGCAGGUCACUGGGCCGCAACUGACGCUGAGGAGCGAAAGCAUGGGGAGCGAACAGGAUUAGAUACCCUGGUAGUCCAUGCCGUAAACGUUGGGCACUAGGUGUGGGGCUCAUUCCACGAGUUCCGUGCCGCAGCAAACGCAUUAAGUGCCCCGCCUGGGGAGUACGGCCGCAAGGCUAAAACUCAAAGAAAUUGACGGGGGCCCGCACAAGCGGCGGANCAUGCGGAUUAAUUCGAUGCAACGCGAAGAACCUUACCAAGGCUUGACAUACACCGGAAAAGUGCANANAUGCGCUCCCCGCAAGGUCGGUGUACAGGUGGUGCAUGGUUGUCGUCAGCUCGUGUCGUGAGAUGUUGGGUUAAGUCCCGCAACNAGCGCAACCCUCGUCCUAUGUUGCCAGCGGGU